rnacentral:rRNA from 1 species
GAUGCUAUUCUAGAGAUAGAAAGUUACUUCGGUACAUCGGUGACAGGUGGUGCAUGGUUGUCGUCAGCUCGUGUCGUGAGAUGUUGGGUUAAGUCCCGCAACGAGCGCAACCCCUAUUGUUAGUUGCCAUCAUUCAGUUGGGCACUCUAGCGAGACUGCCGGUAAUAAACCGGAGGAAGGUGGGGAUGACGUCAAAUCAUCAUGCCCCUUAUGACCUGGGCUACACACGUGCUACAAUGGUUGGUACAACGAGUUGCGAGUCGGUGACGGCGAGCUAAUCUCUUAAAGCCAAUCUCAGUUCGGAUUGUAGGCUGCAACUCGCCUACAUGAAGUCGGAAUCGCUAGUAAUCGCGGAUCAGCACGCCGCGGUGAAUACGUUCCCGGGCCUU